rnacentral:rRNA from 1 species
UGAGGAAUAUUGGUCAAUGGGCGAGAGCCUGAACCAGCCAAGUCGCGUGAAGGAAGAAGGCUCUAUGGUUCGUAAACUUCUUUUGCAGGGGAAUAAAGUGCAGGACGUGUCCUGUGUUGUAUGUACCCUGAGAAUAAGGAUCGGCUCACUCCGUGCCAGCAGCCGCGGUAAUACGGAGGAUCCGAGCGUUAUCCGGAGUUAUUGGGUUUAAAGGGUGCGUAGGUGGUUUAAUAAGUCAGCGGUGAAAGUGUGCAGCUUAACUGUAAAAAUGCCGUUGAAACUGUUAGACUUGAGUGUAAAUGAGGUAGGCGGAAUGCGUGGUGUAGCGGUGAAAUGCUUAGAUAUCACGCAGAACUCCGAUUGCGAAGGCAGCUUACCAAGCUACAACUGACACUGAAGCACGAAAGCGUGGGGAUCAAACA